AUGGAAAAGAAUGUCUCUGGGUGUGAUUACAGAUGGAUCUGGAGUGCUAGAAUCCCUCUCAAAAUUCAAAUAUUAUUGUGGCAACUUUUUCAGGAUGCUGUCCUGACCAGGGAUGUGAUGAAACAUCGCGGUUGGAAAGGAAAUUCAAAAUGUUCUUUUUGUGAAGGAAGAGAGACCGCACAGCAUUUGUUCUUUACUUGUCCUGUUGCCAGGAUAACCUGGAGAACAGUGGCAUGUAUGUUUGGCACUGCUUUAUGCCCUGAUAAUAUUUGGCAGGCCUACUCUUGGUGUUUUACAUUCAUACCUGGGGGGGAGUUCUAUACAGCAGGGAUCGCUGCUGUGUGCUAG
rnacentral:rRNA from 1 species